rnacentral:lncRNA from 10 species
UGGCCUGCUCUCACGAGGUUCACAUUUGGUUCUCAGAACCCAGUGCUGUGGCCUCCACCAUUCCGGGCCGUCUACAAGCCAAGAAGCCAGCCGCACAGGACGAGGCCCAGGAAACAGUCAGCAGGUCUCUACUCACUGACCCUGAAGCCUCAUUGAACUAGAGACCCUGCGUUUCCAGGGUAGGUUAAAUUAGACCUCCUGUAUCCUUUGCUUUUAUGUGUUUAAAAAGGAUAGUCUUUCCUAGGUUUGAAUAUGCGAAAAUAUCUGGCAAAAGAUGAAAAAGCAUUUUAAGACUUUACUGUCGCCAAACCAAAGUCUCCGUCAAAGAAGGCCCAGUCUCUUGGGGUAGUGUGCCUUAGGGAGCCCGUGGGGCAUCAUGGCUGGGGUCACCCCUGGGAGGUGUGGUCUCAGCACAAACCUAGUGGUGAGGUCCAGAGGGCAGCAGCCUGGGUCACUGGUCCAUUGUCGCACUCGGACAUCCGAGUCUCCUCUCGCAGACACCACAACCCACCCUCUCCACCUUGCAGCCCUUUGCUU